rnacentral:rRNA from 1 species
AGCGAACGCUGGCGGCAGGCCUAAUACAUGCAAGUCGAACGGACCCUUCGGGGUUAGUGGCGGACGGGUGAGUAACACGUGGGAACGUGCCCUUUGGUUCGGAAUAACUCAGGGAAACUUGAAUUAAUACCGAAUGUGCCCUUCGGGGAAGGAUUAUCGCCAUUGGAGCGGCCCGCGUCUGAUUAGCUAGUUGGUGGGGUAAAGGGCCCACCAAGGCUACGAUCAGUAGCUGGUCUGAGAGGAUGANCAGCCACACUGGGACUGAGACACGGCCCAGACUCCUACGGGAGGCAGCAGUAGGGAAUCUUGCGCAAUGGCGAAAGCCUGACGCAGCCAUGCCGCGU